rnacentral:misc_RNA from 1 species
ACAAACUUGGUCAUUUAGAGGAAGUAGAAGUCGUAACAAGGUUUCCGUAGGUGAACCUGCGGAAGGAUCAUUGUCGAAUCCUGCCUAGCAGACCAACGCGAACAAGUUAACAAAUUGCGGGCUGCGGACGGGAUGAGGGAGACCUCUAACGUCAGCGCUCGCACCCAACUAAAACUCUCGGCGCGGGAUGCGCCAAGGAUUACUGAAAACAGAUUGCUUACACCUCUGCGGCUUCCGUGGUGUGUGCAAAGCGUCUGAUGGUUUAACAAAAAUGACUCUCGGCAACGGAUAUCUCGGCUCUCGCAUCGAUGAAGAACGCAGC